GAUGAACGCUCGCGGCGUGCCUAAUACAUGCAAGUCGAGCGAACAGACGAGGAGCUUGCUCCUCUGACGUUAGCGGCGGACGGGUGAGUAACACGUGGAUAACCUACCUAUAAGACUGGGAUAACUUCGGGAAACCGGAGCUAAUACCGGAUAAUAUAUUGAACCGCAUGGUUCAAUAGUGAAAGACGGUUUUGCUGUCACUUAUAGAUGGAUCCGCGCCGCCUUAGCUAGUUGGUAAGGUAACGGCUUACCAAGGCGACGAUGCGUAGCCGACCUGAGAUGGUGAUCGACCACACUGGAACUGAGACACGGUCCAGACUCCUACGGGAGGCAGCAGUAGGAAAUCUUCCGCAAUGGGCGAAAGCCUGACGUAGCAACGCCGCGUGAGUGAUGAAGGUCUUCGGAUCGGAAACCUCUUUUAUUAGGGAAGAACAAAUGUUUAAGUAACUAUGCACGUCUGCACGGUACCUAAUCAGAAAGCCACGGCUAACUACGUG
rnacentral:rRNA from 1 species